CAGUAGCCGCGGGAAUACAGAGGGUGCGAGCGUUAAUCGGAUUUACUGGGCGUAUAGCGUGCGUAGGCGGCUUUUUAAGUCGGAUGUGAAAUCCCUGAGCUUAACUUAGGAAUUGCAUUCGAUACUGGGAAGCUAGAGUAUGGGAGAGGAUGGUAGAAUUCCAGGUGUAGCGGUGAAAUGCGUAGAGAUCUGGAGGAAUACCGAUGGCGAAGGCAGCCAUCUGGCCUAAUACUGACGCUGAGGUACGAAAGCAUGGGGAGCAAACAGGAUUAGAUACCCCCGUAGUCCCUGUCUCUUAUAC
rnacentral:rRNA from 1 species